UUGGUUUCAUUUUCACUGUAUUCUGGUCCUGCUUUCUGUUCCUGUGUUACCUUGUUAGUUUUCUUAGUUAGGUCGUUACAGAUGGUUACAGAGGUUAAUAAGGUCAUGGAAGAUGUAGACGUACCUUUGGAGGGCACCCUAUGCAAACCUACUUUUCCUUGCCCUCUUUAAAAAGCCUCCACUCUAUUCAUUUCUAGACACAAAACUUGUUUGUGACUUUGAUACAUCAGCUUCCUCUUUUCAUAACAUGACAAUGGAUAUUGUGUCUAAACUGGGUUUGAUCUUCAUGUUUGCUCUCACAGAAUUCUGUUGGUGUCAAACACUGACUGAGUCUGAGUCAGUGGUCAUUAAACCUGGAGGAUCUCACAGACUUACCUGUACAUUCUCUGGAUUUAGUAGUGACCCGCACUUGGCCUGGAUCAGACAGGCUGCAGGAGGAGGUCUGGAGUGGCUGGCAUACAUCUCUAAUAGUGGUGGUACAUACUACUCUCAGUCUGUUCAGGGACGCUUCACCAUCUCCAGAGACAACAGCAAGAAACAGAUGUAUCUGCAGAUGAAUAAUAUGAAGAAUGAAGACACUGCUGUAUAUUAUUGUGCAAGAGAGACACAGUGAUGAAUACAGCUACAGCACUGCACAAAA